AUUUACUCAUUUAGGGCUUCCCACUUUCUCUCUCCCUCUGCUCUGCUCUAUUCCGAUCGAUGUUCAAAUCAAUGCUCCGAAUCAAGGGUUCCUCUGCUAACUUGAUGACGGAGAUCAUCGGAGGUUGUCGGCUCUACGUCCUGCAGCUCUCUUGGUUAUGCUGUAAUGGAUUUGAGGUUUAGGGCUGCUGACAUCACCGACCGACUCCAACGACUUCGAAAGGUUGUAGGACUAUGAGGACCAACUAAAAGAUUUGGACAACAAAUAUCAGGUGUUUGGUUUCAUUUUUUUAUGUUUUACUUAUUUAAAUAUUAUGAAAUUUGUGAAAUAAGGUAAAAAUGGCUAUUCUAAUAGUUCAUGAUUUCAUCCCUGUUGAAAUAAGGUAAAAAAGGCCGUUCUAAUACCGCAAGUAUCUUAUGGUUGGAUGGUUGAAUUAGUUUUAUUUUGGGUAUUUUUGGAUGAUUUCAUCCAUUUCUUUAAAUAGUUCAUGAUUGAAGAUGUAGUUGAACAUAUCUUUUGAGUGAAAUGAAUGUUGAUUUAUCAGAAAAUGCAGUUGAAGGUAUCUUAAAUAAGGUAAUAAUGCAUUACAUUCCUGUUGAAAAACAGAGUCGAUAAAUUUAGGGAAAAUGAGGUUGAAAGAUGAUAUGCCAACAGUGGAUGAUAUCAUUCUACAGGUUCGAUAAAUUAGGUGUAUUCUCAAACAAUGUUUCCUAGAUGCUUCCAAACAAGCAGCACUUUUGACAUUUGU